rnacentral:rRNA from 1 species
AAAGCACUUCAGUCGUGAGGAAGGUAGUGUAGUUAAUAGCUGCAUUAUUUGACGUUUAGCGACAGAAGAAGCACCGGCUAACUCCGUGCCAGCAGCCGCGGUAAUACGGAGGGUGCGAGCGUUAAUCGGAAUUACUGGGCGUAAAGCGCAUGCAGGUGGUUUGUUAAGUUCAGAUGUGAAAGACCCGGGGCGUCAACCUCGGAAUAGCAUUUGUAAACUAGGCAGACUAGAGUACUGUAGAGGGGGGUAGGAAUUUCAGGUGUAGCGGUGAAAUGCGUAGAGAUCUGAAGGAAUACCGGUGGCGAAGGCGGCCCCCUCGGACAGAUACUGACACUCAGAUGCGAAAGCGUGGGGAGCAAACAGGAUUAGAUACCCUGGUAG